rnacentral:rRNA from 1 species
GACGAACGCUGGCGCCGUGCUUAACACAUGCAAGUCGAACGGAAAGGCCCUGCUUGCAGGGUGCUCGAGUGGCGAACGGGUGAGUAACACGUGGGUGAUCUGCCCCUUACUUUGGGAUAAGCCUGGGAAACUGGGUCUAAUACUGGAUAGGACCAUGCUGUAGGUGGUGUGGUGGAAAGAUUAGUUUCGGUAAGGGAUGAGCUCGCGGCCUAUCAGCUUGUUGGUGGGGUAAUGGCCUACCAAGGCGUCGACGGGUAGCCGGCCUGAGAGGGUGGACGGCCACAUUGGGACUGAGAUACGGCCCAGACUCCUACGGGAGGCAGCAGUGGGGAAUAUUGCACAAUGGGCGCAAGCCUGAUGCAGCGACGCCGCGUGGGGGAUGACGGCCUUCGGGUUGUAAACUCCUUUCAGCCAUGACGAAGCCCUUGUGGUGACGGUAGUGGUAGAAGAAGCACCGGCUAACUACGUG